AUUCAAUAAAUCAUGUCGACUUAAGCAACUUUAUCAAAUCGCACUAAAAGAUAACGAACUGUGUUUGUCUGCCUGGCAAGGCCACAAAACGUGCGAAACAGCUAAGCUUGGACAGUAGCGAGUUGACAAUCUGCGCGUGCGGUUGGAACUUACAAAGUGUCAAUAGUGACGAGGCGGCCAAAAAAGAGAACAAAAUAUAAACAAAGUGAGAGACGCAAAUAGAGAAUAGUUGCAUGUGUAGGUGUAAUCGGCAAAUAUACAAACGUACAUAUGUACCGCAAUAUUUACAUAUAUACAUAUGUAAUUCGUAUCAACUUACAGGGAGUGGGACGAAAGUCGGCAAUGUUUUGAUGUUUUAAACAACACAGUGACAACAUACAACUAUAGCAACAACAACAACUAGGUUUUGUUAUUAAAAA